GCCUCUUCGCGCUCCGGAGCCAAAACCUCUCCUCUCUCUCUCAAUCGCGACCCAGUGGAUCUCAGCUCCUUCUCACUCUCUCUUCACGCUCCAAAUUCGAAAAUUUUCUAGGGUUUCUACUCCUCGAUCUGUGAUUUUGUCCGUGCUCUCGGCUUCGAGCUCCAGUUCGCGGGAAGCAUGCCUCUUAGACUAGAAAUCAAGAACGAGUGAAAUCGGUUGAUCUUCAUCCAACAGAACCAGGGUAAUAGUGCAACUGUAGAUGGAC